GUCGGCGCAAGGUUGACUUGUUAGAGCCGUCAACGCCACCGUAGCGAGCGCCGGUCCCUGUUCCGGUGGACCGCAGAAGAAUCCAGUUGCUCAGAUUCGUGAUCAUUCUAAGUAGACAACUAGUCAACGUAAAGAUCUAAAUCGUGACGAAUGAUAAUGGCCGGCAGGCAUCCGUAAAGACUAAACUCAUCUCGCGCGGUUGGUCAUCACGCGGCGCAUAGUCGAUACGCGUGGAUCAAGUUACAACACGAAUCUUAAAACAUGACAGUCCACGCCCCUCUCGGUAUCACCCGGCCGAUGCCACGCGAUCCAACGUCGCUCGAUUCAUUUCCUCCUCGAGUCUUCCCAAUCUAAUCUUUUUAUUUUACGAUUGUUCAUUUACCAAGAACCCUAAUUAUUCCUCGAUCCCUUUCUGGGAAUUCGCCCCUUCUCGUUCAACUCCUAUGAUGCGAUCUCUUCUCGCAGCAUUGCGUCGGUCCGUCCCCACUCUCGUCUCCAUGGCGCCACUCAGAACGCGACCGGCCCGAGUGACGAGGAGAUCGCCGUCGCCGUCGACGGAGAUGACUCGCCCACGGCCAAGAAGCCACUUAGGGCUGAGUCGAGGAUUCCCCUGUUCGUGAUCUUCUCGGUCGGCCUGCUGUGCAUCUUCCUCACCAUGCCCGAGGCCGAGCACGAUACAAUCCUAAGGCUAACGCGGCACCUCUACGUCCUCAAAUGUUCAUGAUACCUGGUACCGCAUUCUUGUUAUUACUGGCUGGAUCUCUUUCGGGGUCAUAAAAGCACAUUACGGGUUGCAGCAGACCUGAGUCUAACGUCCGAGCUUGUGGCAAAUUUGGGAGUGGAGAAAGAACAUGGUGGUUCGGUGGGAUGCUCUGCAAAAAGUGUUGGGACGCAUGCGAUAAAAUUAGUAGAGUAAUUAAAUAUUAUGUUGUAUGAGAGUUAUUUCACAGGAUAAUUACGUGGAAUCGUCGGUCA